rnacentral:misc_RNA from 1 species
AAAGUUAUUAAAAGCUCCAGCACAGUCCACAAGCUGCUGCUCUGACAGAGAGAUUCCCUUCCCAAAUGCUUGGGCAUAGGCUGCCUCUAGUGCACCAGUAGUGCUGAAUGUCCAGCAAGAUCCGCACUUGCCCUGUGCCUUCACUGGGCUAACAAUACCAUCUUUCCUCCAGUCUUUCGUCUCUGGCAGAACGACGUUAGUGAGCUUGAGAUUUCCCUUUGUGGUGGCAGAACAGUUUUGAGAUGCCCCCAACUUGUGUUUACGGAACUCAUCCCAUGUUAGGUCGGUAAACUCAUUGAUACCGAGUUUGUAUGAUAGUCCUUUUCUGUUAUGCGAUCGGAUCAUCUUCAGAUUGUCCAAAAAUAUCUCAAACCUUUGCUUGAUCUCUUCAACGGAGUCAUACCUUUUCCGAUGCCUGAUAGCAAAGCGAGCGAAGGAGAGAGCACUGCGAGUCUGGCCGACGACUUGAAGAAUCCCGUUCUCCAGCUCAUCGGGAAAUACGACUUGCCUGAUCGGAUUCUUAUCAGCGAAGGUCGCCGGACCGGCAAGUGCAGUAGCGAAAAGGCCGGCGACGAGAAUCAAUACGAGCGAGAGACGUGACAUUGUAAUUAUUGUAA